GGGCCCGCACAAGCGGUGGAUGAUGUGGAUUAAUUCGAUGCAACGCGAAAAACCUUACCUACCCUUGACAUGUCAGGAAUUUUGCAGAGAUGCGAAAGUGCUCGAAAGAGAACCUGAACACAGGUGCUGCAUGGCUGUCGUCAGCUCGUGUCGUGAGAUGUUGGGUUAAGUCCCGCAACGAGCGCAACCCUUGUCAUUAGUUGCUACGCAAGGGCACUCUAAUGAGACUGCCGGUGACAAACCGGAGGAAGGUGGGGACGACGUCAAGUCCUCAUGGCCCUUAUGGGUAGGGCUUCACACGUCAUACAAUGGUUGGUACAGAGGGUUGCAAACCCGUGAGGGGAAGCUAAUCCCAAAAAACCAUCGUAGUCCGGAUUGCAGUCUGCAACUCGACUGCAUGAAGUCGGAAUCGCUAGUAAUCGCGGAUC
rnacentral:rRNA from 1 species